AACGAACGCUGGCGGCAUGCCUAACACAUGCAAGUCGAACGAGAGCUUCGGGUCUAGUGGCGCACGGGUGCGUAGCGCGUGGGAACCGGCACUUAGGUUCGGAAUAACUCCCCGAAAGGGGUGCUAAUACCGGAUAAUGUCUUCGGACCAAAGAUUUAUCGCCUUUGGAUGGGCCCUCGUUGCAUUAGAUAGUUGGGAUGGUAAAAGCCUCCCAAGGCGACGAUCCAUAGCUGGGUACAGAGGCUGAUCCGCCACACCGGGACUGAGACACGGCCCAGACUCUUCCGCAAUGGGGCAGAGCCGAAUAUUGCACAAUCGCGGGAAGCAUGAUGGACCUAUGCCGGGUGAGCGCUGAAGGUCGGAGAGUAGUAAAGCUCUUUUACCCGGGAUGAUAAUGACAGUACCGGGAGAAUAAGCACCGGCUAACUCCGUG
rnacentral:rRNA from 1 species